CACUACUCCCCUCGUUGUCGUCCGUUGCCCUACCCCACCGGAACUACUUACCCGAAAGAAGGAAGGACCGUGUGGAAGACGUAGGACUACCAGACGUACCGGACGGGACAUGUACGAACCCGGUAGGGAACGCGGUGGGGACCGACCUCCAACCCUAAGUUCUUCCGUUCGGACGCGAAGACGAGGUGGUGCAGUGGUUGUCGUCAGCUCGUGUCGUGAGAUGGUUAGGGUUAACGUCCCGACAACGAGCGACCAACCUUACUCAUUUAGUUGACUACGACAAGAGACACUACUAAUGAGACUCGUCCGUUGAAGUAAACGGAAGGAAGGGUAGGGAGUAGACGUACAAUACAUCAUCGCCCUUAUGACCUGGGCUACACACGUACUACAAUGGUGAUCAAACAGAGGGAAGCAACACAGCGAUGUGAAGCAAAUCCCGAAAAAUCAUCUCAGUUCAGAUUGCAGGCUGCAACUCGCCUGCAUGAAGUCGGAAUUGCUAGUAAUCGCGGAUCAGCAUGCCGCGGUGAAUACGUUCCCGGGCCUUGUACAC
rnacentral:rRNA from 1 species